rnacentral:misc_RNA from 1 species
GAUGAAGAACGUAGCGAAAUGCGAUAAGUAAUGUGAAUUGCAGAACUCAGUGAAUCAUCGAAUCUUUGAACGCAUCUUGCGCUCCUUGGUAUUCUGAGGAGCAUGCCUGUUUGAGUGUCAUUAAAUUCUCAACUACACUGACUUUGAAUUGGUGUGGCUUGGAUUUGGGGGGAAAAUUGUUGUGGGCUUUUUGUAUAGUCUGCUCCCCUGAAAUUGAUUAGCGGUACCUUUGUGGAACUGUCUACAGGUGUGAUAAUUAUCUACAUCUUAGACAUCUGCUGGAAUGCUGCUUUCUAAACCUUACUUGUAUUGACAAUCUUGACCUCAAAUCAGGUAGGACUACCCGCUGAACUUAAGCAUAUCAAUAAGCGGAGGA